rnacentral:pre_miRNA from 1 species
UGAUAUGUUUGAUAUAUUAGGUUGUUAUUUAGGCCAACUAUAUAUCAAACAUUCCUA